GGUGUCUCACAGAACACUUGCUUUCUUUUGCUCACUUUCAACAGGUGAAAAUAGAGAUACAGACAAGAGCUGUUUUCUAAUGGUGUGAUGAGGCCAUGGCCCCAAAGGAUGGCCUGUCCAGGAGAUGCCUAUCUUUGGCUUCAGGCAGUAAUGCCUGUGUGGAAACAGCUCAUAUCUGCUCCAGGACCUGAUAAGGAGCCCCUGCCCUAAACAUCUAGUGAAGUGAUGUUCAAGAUGGUCAAUAGGAUGGAAGUAUGUAACAGCAAGAUAAUGAAUUUGACAUGGUUAACCACUACACUGUUAUUUCCUUUGAUCAGAUAUGAACAUGCAUGCCGUAAAGUCAGUGGCCAUUUACUUCACAUAAUUGUCAUAACAUGUUUUCAGCUCUUCAUCGUCAAUAGAAAGAUGUUGAAAUUUCCCAGUGAAUGAGUACAGUUUUUCUAGAAUUUUCUUCAAAAUGACUGGGCUGUUUCUGAAGUAACUUUAAAAAUAACCUGAAGCUAAAUUCCUUUCAUAUGGCAUUUCAGGUAAGGCACUUAAGUUUGGUAAUCUGUGGUGGGUUGAUCCUGCUAGCAACAAAGUGCACCAGCCACUCAUUUGCUCCACACUUUACCCACAGUGGGAUGGCAGAGAGUAUAGAAGGAACAAAAGCAAGAAAAACUAAGGAGUUGAGAUAGAGACAGUUUAGUAAAUGAAGAAAAGGAGGAAAAAAACCCCAAACCAAGAAGUGAUGCCAAGACAAUCACUCACCACCUUCCACUAGCAGACCAAUGACCAGUCUAAAGGCAUGACACUUGUCAUAGGAAAAUGAAGUUCCAUGUGGGUCUCUGCAAGCACCUCAGUUCCGAUGCUAAGACUCUGUGAGGAGGACACCUUCUUAUCAUUAAGGCUGUGAUGAUGGAAACUGGUGUCUGUUGAAGUUCAAAUAGAUGCAAGCCUUGAAGUCUUCAAUGUCAAAGGUAAAAUUCACCUCAGUGUUUUCAUUUAAUGAGCAGUAGGAAGAGAAAGAUUUCUAUGUUUACAGUUAUAUCAUGGCACAAAGUGAAAGACAUUCAUACAGCAUAAUGGUGGACAUUGCCAAGACAGCUGCUCAGAGGAAAAUACCUGCAAGGAGCAGUACCGUGACUACAAGGAGUACCUACCAGCAGCAGCACAGAAAGCCUGAAGACCAUCUGUUAAAUAAAAUAAGCAGUCUGAAUAAGUGCAUAAAUAUCGCAUGUUAACAUCAAACCUCUUAUUGUGGUCAUGCUGGCUUGGCACAGAUCUGCAUAGCAGAGGACCAAACACAACUCGUACUGUCUGCUACACCUGUGGGCAUCUCCAGCAACUACAAUAUAAAUGGGCAGCUUUGCAGCAGAGCCAACAAGAAAAGCUUUCCGUAGGGAAGGCUGAUGUGGCUUCUCAGCAUUUCUGCUCUGCAUCUCAUGCAGCUAACUAUGGUUGAACCUGUUCUGAUGUACAAGUAUAUCCGAAGCAAAUUUCUUCUCUCAUCAAACCUUAAAUAGCUGCAGGCAUGACUUAAACACGCAUGAGUCCCUAACCAUAAAUUUUAAAACGUUGUUAUGACAGAAAGAUACUCCUUAUAGAGUGUGGGAAAGAGAGCUCGAAUAAAGCACAAAAAUAGGACAUGCUUUAAUAUUUGGAGGUGACUAUACAUAUUGUCACUGAAAGUUGGGAGAAUAAAACUCCUUAAUACCGAUGUAGCAUUAA